rnacentral:SRP_RNA from 15 species
GAAGCAGACUUUAUCAACCACCGGUCCUGACGACAGCAGCUGUAGUUCCUCUUGUUGUACAGCGGGAAAGCCGGGAGCGACCUCAUCCA